rnacentral:lncRNA from 1 species
GGGACACUUAGGGACUAUUUGGGACAGGGGCCCAGAGAGAAUGUGCCAAUGUAUGGUAUGGAGGCCCUUGGGUGGGAUCAUACUGACAGGAACUAUCCUCAGAGAUUCCACUAAGGACACUGUGGCCUGGCCACCUCCACAGGUGCUGGUGGCAACGCAUGCAGGUCUAAACCGAAAGCCAGUGAGUGGCAUGUGGGACCAUCUGCAGGAGAAGGUGAGCGCCCUCCCCUCACUGCAUGGCCACUGGAAAUGCCUAGAGGUGCUGGGGGCAUGGGGUAACUAGGGCCAGCCUCUGAGAGGUCUGAGGCAGUGUUAGGUAAACAGAGAUGCUCAGGGCUAACAGGGCGAGCCUGGUAGGUAGCGGGGACAUGGGAAACGAGCUGAGAAGGAAGUGGCCCAUAGUUAAGAGCAUACAGAUCCAGGAAGGCCUGAAUUAGGUAGGGCCACGAGUUGGAAGAGUCUAGGCAGCUACAGGAUGUGUGCCUUCUGGAGGCCACUGGGGACCAGGCAAGACGCUGAGCAGCAAUGCCCUUGUGUGUGGUCCAGCCAGCCUUUCUGCUGUCCCAUAUGGUGGGACUUCUCACUGCCUCUCUUUGCAGGGCAACGAGGGCAUCCCCAUCUCCAUCGGGGACAGUGUCUUCGUGGGAGAUGCAGCAGGGCGCCCAGCCAACUGGGCCCCAGGGAAGAAGAAAAAGGAUUUCUCCUGUGCAGACCGC